rnacentral:rRNA from 1 species
AGAACGAACGCUGGCGGCAGGCUUAACACAUGCAAGUCGAACGGUUGUAGCAAUACAGCAGUGGCAGACGGGUGAGUAACACGUGGGAACCUUCCUAGGGGUACGGAACAACUCAGGGAAACUUGAGCUAAUACCGUAUACGUCCGUGAGGAGAAAGUUUUAACGCCCCUAGACGGGCCCGCGUAGGAUUAGGUAGUUGGUGAGGUAACGGCUCACCAAGCCUACGAUCCUUAGCUGAUCUGAGAGGAUGAUCAGCCACACUGGGACUGAGACACGGCCCAGACUCCUACGGGAGCAGCAGUGGGGAAUCUUGGGACAAUGGGCGCGAAACGCUGAC